UCCUGAAAGCUAUCUCCAGAGAAAAUACAAACUAUAUAUGAAUUACAGUGUCUGCACUGAUACAGAAGUCUUCUAAUCUGGAGUCCAUGAAAGCUUUGCCCCCUUUGAGUAAACACGGAAGUGCGUGAGGGUUUCAGAGAAGAACCUUCAGACCUCUGAGCAGUGUGCACUGAGCUCUGAAUGCAGAGGUCAGCAGCUGGACCUGCUUUCCAGCACUGCUGAAGGAAAUGACUGUAAGUGUGCAGUAAAACAAUCACAGCUGGCAGGGACUGUGGGAAGCAAGUUUUGUGAGACAAGGAAACCGUAAGGCAGGACAUGCAGUAGCUGCUACUGACAAGAUUCGCCCUUGGAACCAAGGUGGGUAGGUCUGUUCCAGGUGCUGCUAACAUCCCAAACAACAGUAAAAGCACUGUGGAUAUACAAUACUACAGUUAAGAAGGUCCCUCGAACACAAUGAGAACUGAAGUCAGCUGGACCCUUAAAAUUGUGAAUCCAGAGACAGAAAUGUGGGCUUUUGUAAUCGUUAGAAAUGUUGAUUUGAUGAGUGCAGCAUUUGAUGUAAAUGUUAUGUAUCUCUUGUGACAAACAUCAUUGCAUAUCAGUAUUGUUUGGUAUGUGGGCAAGCAAAGGAUUUAAACUUUUCUCUACUUGUUGUCCCUGAUGAUUUUAAGGGGAGAAAUCAGACUGUUGCAGGGUUUGAGUCACUGUCCUGGUGGGUGAUGAUCAACAAGAAUGUAGAUUGAAUUAACUACAUCUGUUAUAAUCAAUGGAGAUUUACAAAUUAUACAAAGUGCAAUAAAGAGAAUUGCAGGACAGUUAGAUGCCACAAGUAGAGUGGCCUGAGAAAAUAGGAUCUCCUAAGAUAUGAUAAAAGAGUGUAUAUGUAACGCUGGGUACCCGUUGUUGCACCCUCAUCCCAGUAACACAGCUUGGAUGGCAUAAUAACAAAGGCAUUGCAAGGGCUUGGUGCCACCCUUGUCAAUGAAGUGGCAGAAAAAUCAGGAAUAGAUACUUUGUCACUGGAUGGUUGGAGUCCUGGUUUGGUGAAUGGAAGGGGUGACUGUAUCCACAUUUACUUCUUUGAUAGCAGUGCAGGAGCCUUGAUGGCCACUGGUUGCUGUGUUAUCCCCUGUGUGAGGGGACUGGUAGAGUGAAUGAUAGAGAGAGCACUAUUGAAGCAAACACCAAUGGAGCCAUUACAUGUGGAUAAAAUGAUGGUGUUAGAGGAGAUGGGAGAUAAAGACAGUGAAGACGAGGGAGAUGUCUAUAAAAGUGAACCUUAACAAAAAAAAAAAAAAAAAAAAAAAGGAACUGCAGAAAUCAACAAUGUAUAAAAAAAGAAAAAGGGGGGAAUUGUGGGAAUCAAAUGUUGUUUCUGCGCUAAAAUUGGAUAAUAUUAUUUUUAUUUCACGGUCUCCGCUAUCAUAGUUCUUUUUGGGAGUCCUUCUGCUUAACUUGGGGAAGAUCUCUGAUAAGUUUACAUCACUUAUCUUCUAGACAAAACUUCCCAGGAACGCACACUCUGUACAUAGGUGUAUAGAUGUAUAUUUUGUCACACACUGCAAGAACAUUCUGCACGAGGUCAAACCAGAGAACAAGUGAUGGCCUGCCCGAGGAAGCACCUGAAGAGACAUCGAAAGGCCUGGCAUCGUUCCCCCAGUGCUCUUUGUUUAACGAAGACUUUGAAGAAAAUCACCAUAUCAAUACUGCAAGGAGAGCAGCGAGAUACCUUGGAAACAACAGGAUGGCUGCCGACUGACACCAGAUAAUAAAUAAAUUAACAAGUAAAUAGCAAAUGUAAACCUUCUGUAAGAUUGUGAACCUGGAGUACCCAGCCAGUGGGGAAACAGGGGAGGGGGGAGGCAAGGGGGAGAAAACAGGGUCUAAAGGCUGCCAUGUUGUGUCCAUAGGCGCUCCUGCUUGCGGGACGCCGCCAUUGCAAUCGCGAAUAAAUUCUGCUUUUAUCAGA